rnacentral:lncRNA from 10 species
UUUAUAUGCAGGUCGUGGCUUUAGCACUAAAACAAAGCCCUUAACAAAGAGCAUGAAGUUCAUUGGGUAGUUGUAGCAGGCUGCAUAAUGAUCCCCCAAAAAAGAUGUCCACGGUCAUAAUCCCUAGAACCUCUGAAUAUGGUACUUUUUUUGGAAGCUGUCAAUCUGUCAUGGGAGACAGGCAAACAUUGCCUACUGUCGUGAUUAAACUACAAGGUGCUAUGAUGGGUAUCAGCACUGAGUCCAUGGAAACCAAAGGAAGAAGCGUCACAGUUGACCAGAAGGAGACACAAGGGAAGGCACAGAAGAGAGAACACAGAGGGCAAGGCCAUGUGAAGACAGAGACUGAAAUUGGAGUGAUGCAGCCACAAGCCAAGGAAUGCCUGGAGCCACCAGAAGUUGGAAGAGGCAAGAAAUAGACUCUCUUCUAGAGCCUGUGGAGCUCUGCUAAUACCUUGAUUUUGGAUUUCUGCCCUCCAGAACCAUGACAGAAUAAAGUUCUGUCUUAAGUCACCUAGUUUGCGGUAAAUUGUAAAAGCAUCCCUAGGAAAUGAAUGGACUCUCCAAGUAUUUAAGUAUUAAAAAAGAUACAAGACACUGGUAAGAGUCUUGUCUCUGGGAAGAGGGGUACUUAUGUUCUCCUUUGAAUGGCACUCCCUAAAGUUGGGCACUGCUAUGGACAGAAUAAUUGCCCCCCAAAUAUGUACUCAUCAUAAUCCCCAGAAUCUAUGAAUAUGGUAGGUUACAUGGCAAAGUUGAAUGAAGAUUACAGAUGGAAUUAAGAUUAGUUAGUUGAGCUUAAGACAGGGAGAUUGUCCUGGACUGUCUGGGUGGGCCUGAUGUAAUCACAAGGAUCUUUAGAAGUAGAAGAGAGAUACAAUAGAACAUUAUUUGGCAAUUAAAGGGAAUUAAUAGAUGCUACAACAUGGAUGAAUCUUGACAACAUUAUGCUGAGUGAAAAAAACUAGUCACAAAGGACCACACAUUGUUUGGUUCCAUUUAUAUGAAAUAUCUAGAAUAGACAAAUCUAUAGAGGCAGAAAGUAGAUUACUGGUUGCCCAAGGCUGGAAAUGAUGGAGGGCUGGGCAUGUGGGUGAUGACUCAGAAUAAGGGGUUUCUUUUAAAAGUGAUGAAAAUUACCUAAAAUUGGUUGUGGUGAUGAAUGAACAAUUUUGUGAAUAUACUAAAGCCACAGGAUUAUUAUACUCUUAAAUGGGUGAACUAUCAGUAUGACAAUUGUAUUUCAAUAAAACUUUUUAAAAAGUGGAAAAAAAGAGAGGCAGAAAAAGAAAAAGCAGUGACAAUUUGACAUGUCAAUUGAUGGCCUUAAAGACAGAAGGGGGCCACAGACUAAGGAAGGCCAGCUACCUCAAGAACCUGAGAAACAGCAAGGCAGUGAAGUCUGUCCUAGUGCCUCCAGAGAGAUGCAGCCCUGCUGAUGUCUUAAGUUUAGCUCCCUGAUAUAGUUUGGCUCUAUGUCCCCACCCAAAUCUCAUCUCAAAUUGUAAUCCCCAUGUGUCAAGGGAGGGAGGUGACUGGAUCAUGGGUACGGUUUCCCCCAUGCUGUUCCCAUGAUAGUGAGUGAGUUCUCAUGAGAUCUGAUGGUUUUAUAAGGGGCUCUUCCCCCUUUGCUCACUCCUUUCUCUCCUGCUGUCUUGUGAAAAAGGUGCUUGCUUCCCCUUCUGCCUUGAUUGUAAGUUUCCUGAGGCCUCCCCAGCCAUGCAGAACUGUAAGUCAAUUAAAUCUCUUUCCUUUAUAACUUACCCAGUCUUGGGCAUUUCUUUAUAUAGUGUGAAAACAGACUAAUACACUCCUCGAAACUCAUUUUGGACUUCUGAUCUCCAGAACUGUAGAGAAUAUAUUCGUAAUGUUUUGAGCCGCUAAGUUUAUAGUAAUUUUUUUGUAGCAUCAUAGAAAAUGACAUUUCUCGCACCGUUUUUCCUUUCGAAUUGUGUGCUCUGUACAUACAUUACCUACUCAAAAUUUAAAUGAAAACAAAACAACCUAUUCAGGCAAUGAUUCAAUGUCAUCUGGCAAAAAUUUUAAAUACCUGUAACAUUGCUGUUCAACAGAAAUACAGUCGAAGCCACAAAUGUGCAUGAUAUAUUGUAAUUUUAUAUUUUCUAGCAGCCAAAUAUUUCAAAAAAUAAAAAGAAACAGGUGAAAUUAAUUUUAGAAAUAAAUUUUGUUUAACCUAUCUAAAAUAUUCCCACAUAUAAUCAAUAUAAAAAUUAUUAUUUUACAUUUUUUUCUCAUGCUACAUCUUUGAAAUCUAGCAUGUAUUUUACAUUUAUAGUACAUUUCCACUAGAGUACAAUCAUGGCGGAAGGGGAAGCACCACAUUGGAAGUGCUCAGUAGCCACAUAUGGCUAAGGGCUACUAUAUUAAACAACAAAUAUUUAAACAUCCAGCAGGAGUGAGGGGUAGGGAAAGGGGCACUUAAAAAAACAAUUCAGUGAGAAUGGGAACUGCUAAAACUUUUUUGGAAAGGCACUUUCUAGUACUAUUUGAAAUAUAUAUCAUUUUAACUUAGAAAUCCAUCUUAGAGAUUCAUGCUACAUCAUUAUACAAGGAUGCAGCUACAAAAAUAUUUAUUGCUCAAAAGGCAAAACACUGGAUACAACCUAGAUAAUCACAAAUAUGUUACAGGCACACCAUGGAUGUUAUGUAGGUGUCACAGAAAAUGAGCUGGAGCUUUAUGUAAUGACUAUAGAAUAUUGACCAUGUCCAGGGUAUGCCGCUAUGUGAGAAAAGCUUAGGUGAGAAGUGUUUUUUGUAUAUUUUUUUGGGAAAAAGCCAAUUAAGAUAUAGAUAUACAGAGAAUUAUUCACACCAAACUUAAUAUUGGUUACUCUGUGAAGUAGUGUUGAGGUGUUAUAAAUACUAUUGUUGACUUUCUCCUUAUAGACAUUUUGUUGUGUAUUUCUUUGUAGCUUAUAAAGAAAGUCAACAUAUACAUGUGAUAUUGAUAUGGUUUGAAUAUUUGUCUCUUCCAAAUCUUAUGUUGAAAUGAGAUCCCCAGUGUUAGAGGUGGGGCCUAGUGGGAGGUGUUUGGGUCAUGAUCAUGGAUCCCUCAUGAACAGCUUGGUGCCCUAGGAAAUGAGUGAGUUCUCACUCUGAGUUCACAUGAGAGCUGAUUGUUUAAAAGAGCCUAGCACCUCCUCCUCUCUUGCUCUUUCUCUCACCAUAGGACACACUGCCCCACUUCAUUUUCUGCCACGAUUGUAGGCUUCCUGAGGCCUCACCAGAAGUAGACGCCAGUGCCACGCUUGUACAGCCUGUAGAACUGUGAGCUAAUGAAAGCUCUUUUCUUUAUAAAUUACAUUUAUAGCAGCACAAAACAGACUGACACAUGUGUAUAUUAUAUAUAUUAUGUAUAUUAUAUACACACACAUAUAUAUACACAUGUAUGUGUAUCGAUACUUUAGGAGACACCCCAAUGGUUACACCAUCGGCAAAUCAUCAGUGACCACAUCAAACACCUCUCCCCAACAAUAACCUUAAAUGGGACUGACCUUUCUUUGACCAGGUACUUUUUUUUUGCUAAUUAGAGGGAAUAUCUCAAAUAUGUUCUAUGAAACAGUACUUCUUAACAUGCACACUAAAUUGCUAUGCCUUUAGAGUCUAUCAGUCUGUAACAGAAACCCAUAUAUUCUGCCAUUCAGAGAAACAUUUCUUGUUUAUCCAAGUUCACACCCCCACAAUCCUACCCAAUAUCCAGGUAAUAAAAAGAGUUUUUUAAAAGCUUGAAUUUGCAGGAAAAAUUAAUUAUGGACCAAGGAAUUAUCAUGAACUGAAUACUAAAUAUAAAUUGAGAGUUUCCACACAUGGAUUUAAAAGGAAAAAUCUCAGAUGGUUUAUAAAACAUUUCAGACUUCAGCGUCUCUUCCACAUUCAGUGUUUGGUCAGUAUUAUUUGUUAGACAGUGUCAGCUCUGGUUAGCAUAUCUGUUAGAUGGUAUGUAUUAGGCUUUCCUGCAUUGCUACAAAGAAAUACCUGAGGCUGGGUAAUUUAUAAAGAAAAUAUAUUUAAUUGGCUCACAAUUCUGCAGGCUUUAUGGGAAGCAUGGUGCCAACAUCAGCUUCUGGUAAGGCCUCAGGAUGCCUAUAAUCAUGGCAGAAGGUGACGGAGAGCCAGCAUGUCACAUGGUGAGAGCAGGAGCAAGAGAGAGAGAGGGGGAGGUGCCAGGCUGUUUAAAACAACCAGAUCUCACAUGAACUCACAGUGAGAACUCAUUCAUUAUUGUGAGGACAGCAUUGAGCCAUUGAUGAGGGAUCUGCCCCCAUGACCCAAACACCUCCCAUGAGGCCCACCUCCAACAUUGAAAUCACGUCUCUACCUGAGAUUUGGAGAGGAAAAAACAUCCAAACUGUAUUAGUCCAUUCUCACACUACUAUAAAGAUAUGUCUGAGACUGGAUAAUUUACAAAGGAAAGAGGUUUAAUUGAAUCACAGUUCCACAUAGCCGGGAAGGCCUCAGGAAACUUACAAUCAAGGCAGAAGGUGAAGGGGAAGCAAGGACCUUCUUCACAUGGUGACAGGGGAGAGAGAGAGCCUGAGGGGAAAAUGGCCAAACUCUUUUAAAACAUCAGAUCUUGUGAGAACUCACUCCCCAUCACAAGAACAGCAUGGGGGAAACUGCCCCCAUGAUCCAACCACCUCCCACCAGGUCCCUGCCUGGACACAUGGGGGUUACAAUUUGAGAUGAGAUUUGGGUGGGGACACAACGCCAAACCAUGUCACAAACCAUAUCAGAUACAUAGGUGAUCGUCAGCUGUUUACUAAUAUUAAUUUAUUCAUAAGACAUCUCUACCUUAAUUACAUUUCACAAAAUAAUCAUUUUAGAAAACUUGCUUUUUUCUUUACAUCUUAUAAAGUAAUUUUAUUCAAACCUUUUAAAUCCACUUUUGAUAUCCCUGACUUUGUCAUUAUGUAAACCAAUUUGAAUCAUCUCACACUGUUUCUGGAGGGUGUCGUGUUCAAUUCUGUCCAACUUGUUUGAGAUAAAUGUAUGACGCUGAAACUAGAAAUGUUAUUGCAAGCCAUAGAUACCUGUUUCUGUUAACAUUAGGGGAGUAUCUUCACACAUUUAUUCUAUGGGUGUGUCUACUACUUACUAUUUGACUUUUCAAAGUGAUCUUUAAAAUAUUUUCAGUGGCCUAGAACAGUUAUUGCUGUGAAGUCAUAUUCCAAGAAUAACGACCAAAACUUCUUCAACUUGGCCAGGCACGGUGGCUCACACCUGUAAUGCCAGCACUUUGGGAAGCUGAGGCAGGUGGAUCAUGAGGUCAGGAGUUCGAGACCAGCCUGAUGAACAUGGUGAAACCCCGUCUGUACUAAAAAUACAAAAAAAUUAGCCGGGCAUGGUGGCAGACAUCUGUAAUCCCAGCUACUCAGGAGGCU